AUUGAACGCUGGCGGCAUGCCUUACACAUGCAAGUCGAACGGUAACAGGUCUUCGGAUGCUGACGAGUGGCGAACGGGUGAGUAAUACAUCGGAACGUGCCUAGUAGUGGGGGAUAACUACUCGAAAGAGUGGCUAAUACCGCAUGAGAUCUACGGAUGAAAGCAGGGGAUCGCAAGACCUUGUGCUACUAGAGCGGCCGAUGGCAGAUUAGGUAGUUGGUGGGACAAAAGCUUACCAAGCCGACGAUCUGUAGCUGGUCUGAGAGGACGAUCAGCCACACUGGGACUGAGACACGGCCCAGACUCCUACGGGAGGCAGCAGUGGGGAAUUUUGGACAAUGGGCGCAAGCCUGAUCCAGCGAUGCCGCGUGCAGGAUGAAGGCCUUCGGGUUGUAAACUGCUUUUGUACGGAACGAAAAGCCCUGGGUUAAUACCCUGGGGUCAUGACGGUACCGUAAGAAUAAGCACCGGCUAACUACGUGCCAGCCGCCGCAGUAA
rnacentral:rRNA from 1 species